rnacentral:rRNA from 1 species
CCUACGGGCGGCAGCAGUGGGGAAUAUUGGACAAUGGGGGGAACCCUGAUCCAGCGACGCCGCGUGAGUGAAGAAGUAUUUCGGUAUGUAAAGCUCUAUCAGCAGGGAAGAAAGGAAUGACGGUACCUGACUAAGAAGCCCCGGCUAACUACGUGCCAGCAGCCGCGGUAAUGCGUAGGGGGCAAGCGUUAUCCGGAUUUACUGGGUGUAAAGGGAGCGUAGACGGUUACGCAAGUCUGGAGUGAAAGGCGGGGGCCCAAACCCCGGACUGCUUUGGAGACGGUAUAACUAGAGUGCAGGAGAGGUAAGUGGAAGUCCUAGUGAAGCGGUGAAAUGCGUAGAUAUUAGGAGGAACACCAGUGGCGAAGGCGGCUUACUGGACUGUAACUGACGUUGAGGCUCGAAAGCGUGGGGAGCAAACAGGAUUAGAUACCCCAGUAGUC